GUCAAUUCACAUCACAGAAAGAGGGAGAGAUAAAACUGUCAGGGCUUUAUAUGGAAUGAGUUACUUGUUUCUGAUUGGUUUAAGUUUUAUGAUUGACUUGUGCUGCUGGAGGUUAUGCAAAAUACUCGCCUCCUGCCUUUAUUAAAAUUAAGAUUAUAGGUGCACUACAUUAGCAUAAUCUACAAUUCAUGACCAUUGAGCAGUAGGUGUAUGAAACUGGAG